GAUGAACGCUAGCGGCAGGCUUAACACAUGCAAGUCGAGGGGUAGAGGAAGCUUGCUUCCUUGAGACCGGCGCACGGGUGCGUAACGCGUAUGCAACCUACCUUUUACAGAGGGAUAGCCCAGAGAAAUUUGGAUUAAUACCUCAUGGUAUAUAUCAUUCGCAUGUUUGAUAUAUUAAAGUUCCAACGGUAAAAGAUGGGCAUGCGUCCUAUUAGCUAGAUGGUAAGGAAACGGCUUACCAUGGCAACGAUAGGUAGGGGUCCUGAGAGGGAGAUCCCCCACACUGGUACUGAGACACGGACCAGACUCCUACGGGAGGCAGCAGUGAGGAAUAUUGGACAAUGGGCACAAGCCUGAUCCAGCCAUGCCGCGUGCAGGAAGAAGCAUCUAUGGUGUGUAAACUGCUUUUGUACGGGAAGAAACACUCCUUCGUGAAGGAGCUUGACGGUACCGUAAGAAUAAGGAUCGGCUAACUCCGUGCCAGCCGCCGCGGUAACAC
rnacentral:rRNA from 1 species